rnacentral:tRNA from 1 species
GCAUCGGUGGUUCAGUGGUAGAAUGCUCGCCUGCCACGCGGGCUGCCCGGGUAAGAUUCCCGGCCGAUGCA